GACGAACGCUGGCGGCGCGUCUAACACAUGCAAGUCGAACGGAGCUGAGAGAAGCUUGCUUUUCUUAGCUUAGUGGCGAACGGGUGAGUAACGCGUGAGUAACCUGCCCUGGAGUGGGGGACAACAGUUGGAAACGACUGCUAAUACCGCAUAAGCCCACGAUCCGGCAUCGGAUUGAGGGAAAAGGAUUUAUUCGCUUCAGGAUGGACUCGCGUCCAAUUAGCUAGUUGGUGAGGUAACGGCCCACCAAGGCGACGAUUGGUAGCCGGACUGAGAGGUUGAACGGCCACAUUGGGACUGAGACACGGCCCAGACUCCUACGGGAGGCAGCAGUGGGGGAUAUUGCACAAUGGGGGAAACCCUGAUGCAGCGACGCCGCGUGGAGGAAGAAGGUUUUCGGAUUGUAAACUCCUGUCGUUAGGGACGAUAAUGACGGUACCUAACAAGAAAGCACCGGCUAACUACGUG
rnacentral:rRNA from 1 species